GUCUACGGCCAUGCCACCCUGAAUGUGCCUGAUCUCAUCUGAUUUUGGAAGCUAAGCAGGGUCGGGCCUGGUUAGUACUUGGAUGGGAGACCACCUAGGAAGACCAGGUGCUGUAGGUG
rnacentral:rRNA from 1 species